rnacentral:rRNA from 1 species
CCUUUUGUAUAAUGGGUCAGCGACUUAUAUUCUGUAGCAAGGUUAACCGAAUAGGGGAGCCGAAGGGAAACCGAGUCUUAACUGGGCGUUAAGUUGCAGGGUAUAGACCCGAAACCCGGUGAUCUAGCCAUGGGCAGGUUGAAGGUUGGGUAACACUAACUGGAGGACCGAACCGACUAAUGUUGAAAAAUUAGCGGAUGACUUGUGGCUGGGGGUGAAAGGCCAAUCAAACCGGGAGAUAGCUGGUUCUCCCCGAAAGCUAUUUAGGUAGCGCCUCGUGAAUUCAUCUCCGGGGGUAGAGCACUGUUUCGGCAAGGGGGUCAUCCCGACUUACCAACCCGAUGCAAACUGCGAAUACCGGAGAAUGUUAUCACGGGAGACACACGGCGGGUGCUAACGUCCGUCGUGAAGAGGGAAACAACCCAGACCGCCAGCUAAGGUCCCAAAGUCAUGGUUAAGUGGGAAACGAUGUGGGAAGGCCCAGACAGCCAGGAUGUUGGCUUAGAAGCAGCCAUCAUUUAAAGAAAGCGUAAUAGCUCACUGGUCGAGUCGGCCUGCGCGGAAGAUGUAACGGGGCUAAACCAUGCACCGAAGCUGCGGCAGCGACGCUUAUGCGUUGUUGGGUAGGGGAGCGUUCUGUAAGCCUGUGAAGGUGUACUGUGAGGUAUGCUGGAGGUAUCAGAAGUGCGAAUGCUGACAUAAGUAACGAUAAAGCGGGUGAAAAGCCCGCUCGCCGGAAGACCAAGGGUUCCUGUCCAACGUUAAUCGGGGCAGGGUGAGUCGACCCCUAAGGCGAGGCCGAAAGGCGUAGUCGAUGGGAAACAGGUUAAUAUUCCUGUACUUGGUGUUACUGCGAAGGGGGGACGGAGAAGGCUAUGUUGGCCGGGCGACGGUUGUCCCGGUUUAAGCGUGUAGGCUGGUUUUCCAGGCAAAUCCGGAAAAUCAAGGCUGAGGCGUGAUGACGAGGCACUACGGUGCUGAAGCAACAAAUGCCCUGCUUCCAGGAAAAGCCUCUAAGCAUCAGGUAACAUCAAAUCGUACCCCAAACCGACACAGGUGGUCAGGUAGAGAAUACCAAGGCGCUUGAGAGAACUCGGGUGAAGGAACUAGGCAAAAUGGUGCCGUAACUUCGGGAGAAGGCACGCUGAUAUGUAGGUGAAGUCCCUCGCGGAUGGAGCUGAAAUCAGUCGAAGAUACCAGCUGGCUGCAACUGUUUAUUAAAAACACAGCACUGUGCAAACACGAAAGUGGACGUAUACGGUGUGACGCCUGCCCGGUGCCGGAAGGUUAAUUGAUGGGGUUAGCGCAAGCGAAGCUCUUGAUCGAAGCCCCGGUAAACGGCGGCCGUAACUAUAACGGUCCUAAGGUAGCGAAAUUCCUUGUCGGGUAAGUUCCGACCUG